UAAAGCGGGUCUCGUGCCUUAGGGUUUUACCCUUCCCCCUCUCUUCCUUCUGUGUGCCGCCGCUGCUAGGUUAGAGCAGCCCCCGCCAUAGCCGUCGCCAUGAUUGAGCUGCUGCCGAGCUCGAGAUCGAGCACGGCCUGAUCAUCCCUACCUUCUUCUUCCCGGGGGCAUCACGGGUGUGGUCGUCUUCUUCCUCUCGAGUGCGCGAGACCGCGAGGACAGAAGGAAGCCGCCGCUGACGAGCCUCUGCAUCCCCUGCUUCCUCCUCGCCAGGACCAAGCUCGACGUCGCCCCGCAGCUCGUCGUCGACCGUCCCCAUCGCCUCUGUCAGUGAUGGGAUGGCUCCAACAACUCGCGAGAACCCGGGUCGUGAGGGUGAGCAGUCAAAUCCUCCACCACCCCCUCUGCGACCGCCUACUCCUCAAGAGGCAUGGCAAGCUUUGAUGGCUGCAACCAAUGCAAACACUCAAAUGCUGCUUCAGAUGAUCCAAGAAAGGAACUAAGGCCAGCAGGGGAAUUUCAACAAUGGGCAGCAAUUUGCAACUCUGAAUCAAUUUCUAGCAAAUGAGCCCAAGUCCUUCACUUAUUGUGAGCAGCCGUUCGAUGGGGAUGAUUGGCUCCGUGACAUGAACAAACACUUUGAGUGCAGUAAUGUCAGACCUGAGGACUUUGUCAGGUUUGCAACUUUCCAGCUGAAAGGUCAGGCAACAGAAUGGUGGGAGGAAAUGAAGGAUUCUAGAGGCGACAGAGUGAUUAGUUGGGAUGAUUUCUGUCGUGAUUUUAGGGCUCAUCACAUUCCAGCUAGCUUUGUGGAAGGCAUGCGUGAGAAGUUCAGGCGCUUGAAGCAAGGGAAUUCAUCAGUGUAUGAUUACAACGUUGAGUUCCAGAACCUUGCACGAUAUGCCAAGCAAGAUGUUCCUGAUCAAAAGAGCAAGAUUUAUCAGUUUCGUGGUGGUCUCAAAGAAGAUUUGCAGUUGUCCCUCGCCUUGCACGAUCCUACUGAGUUCGACCAGUUCUAAAACAUUGCUCCCAGUGCUGAGUGAGCUUUGCUCAAGGUGGAAAACUCAAGGAAGCGUUUCACGGACUCCUGUUCUUCCUCAUCCUCAGCUCAUAUUGUCCUGAAGACGCAGAAAUACUGGGUUUCUUGUCCUCCUCUUCAGUCUCAGCAGUUCAAGCGGUCUGGUGGUUGUGGAUCUUCCCACCCACACAACCUAGCUUUCCAGCAGAAGUUUCAGCAGCCAAAGUCAGGAGGUCCUCCAACUCAAUUUCGUCCGCUGUCGGAGGCUACUUGUCACAAGUGUGGACAGAACGGUCAUUACUCAAACAAGUGUAGCAGUCAGUAGUGUCUUCCGCCUCCUCCUCCAAUCAGGCCACCAGGCAAUGCAAUGGUGAAGCAUAAUCCAAAUACAACAAGAGUAAACAUGGUGAAUGCAACUGAAGCAGAGGAGUCAUCAGAUCUGAUCAUGGGUAAUCUCUUGGUUAAUUCUAUUUUGGCAAGAGUUUUAUUUGAAACUGGUGCAUCACAAUCAUUCAUUUCAAGGCCUUUUGUUGCUAAGCAUGAUUUAGCGAAAGAGGACACUCCUAAGCGUUUAAAAAUCAUUUCUUCGGGCAUGCAAAUGACUUCAAAUGUGUCUGUUCAAAAUGCUUCUAUCAAGAUGUGCAGUUAUUCCUUUUUGGCUU